UUGUCCUUUUUUCAAAUCUUUCCAGCUUUUCUACAAAGCAGGGACCCAUAAAUGAGAAAGGACAAGAGAGAAAAGACAUCCCAAGGAGUAGCAACAGAUGAUGCAGAAUCCAACUCAGCAACGCUGUCUUCCACUUCUUCAGCAGCCAAGGAGAGCAUACGAUCAUUGCAACUAGUGUUGUUCCUCUCAGAUUUGGCCGUCCCUUUCUUCAUUUUUUUUCCAAUUUCCCUUUCGCCCUUUUUCUCCUCCUUCACGGCCAGAUUGAAGACCCCUUCGCCCGGUACAGAUGACGAAGAAAUUGAAGAUCCCUUCAGCUCCAGAUGUGAUAUUCAGCAGUCAACUUCAUUCUUUUUUUCACUUUCCCUUUCCCUCUGUUGUCUCCUUCCCUCUCUGCCGUCACCCUCUGUUUUUCUCCUCUCCUUCCUUCAUAGCCGGACGAUGAAGAAAUUGAAGAACCCCUUCAGCUCGCUUCUCCAAAUAAUCACUCUAGAUACUGCUGUGACCCUCGUUCUUUCUUUUCUCUUUUCUUUCUCUCUGUUUUCUCCUUCCCUCUCUGCAAAAGGCACACAGAAAUUGACGGUAUGCUUCUCCCCUUAUCCUCCUUUUCCCCUAAAUCUUGUCUUUGUGGUUGAGAAAGAAAACAAGAAAGCAUGGGUGGCCGACUCUCUGUGUUCUUGUUGCUGUUUAUGAUCUGACCGGUUCAUAUCCGAGUCGAAUCCGAGAAUUUGGCUGGUAUCCUUCUACACCGUUCUAACUCGGUUAAUAUCAACUGUUUCGGAGCGAUUCAAAUCGGAUAUGGUAUAAUCGGCGUUUCGGGUAUCGGUAUCGGAACGGUAGGGACUGUUCUGGUUAUGACUCGGCCGAGUUGGCGAACCAUGAUCAUGACACAGCAGACAAAUAUCUGUUUUCUAAAUUGAUUACCAGUUUUGACAGAAGUUCAUAGAUAUAGGAACCGCUUAACUACAGAGAUUGUUCAGCGACUGGAACAUAUCAUAUAUCAUUGUUGAACAACUCAAAAGAAGAAGGGUACAGUAAUGUCAAGUUUCAUCUAUUAAACAACAAAACAAGGCUAACAAUUUCAUUAGGUUGCGAACUCUUUUAGCUUUUGAUUUGAGUGGUUUAUAUUUCAACUGCUGGAAUGCUAUUCCUCUGUUGAUUGUUGCUCUCUUUUUCUGCUUGCAGUUCCAAAUUCUAGUAUUGCAUACGUUCAAUGUGGGUUGGGUUGUUCUCAUUUAUCUUCAAUGCUUUUGUUUCCAUGCCUCUGGCUGCAUGCUCUGAAGAUACCUUUUCAACUGAUUAGCAUGGUGUCCUGCAUCUUUCGUAUCUCUGAUUCAUGUGAACGGAAGAAAGUGAGGGAAAAUCAAUGCAGAUAUUGUCACUAGUGAAAAGGGUGAAAGCGAAAUAACACUGCAUCAAAUCAUUAACAACUAAAGAUAUCAUUCUCUGGAUGUGAGGAAUGAGUACACACUUUCAUUAUGGAAUCGACCCAUCUCAUCAUUUCGAGUCAUCAAAUCGAAUGAGAGUAUAAUAGUUUCAUUGUAUUUACGCUCACAAACCCUGAGGGACCUGCAGUUAUCUUGUAUUUCCUUGGUAAAAUUGUCAAUAAGCCGUGAAGUUAUUUGCUUCACUUCACUUCUGCUUCAAUAUCAGCAAUAGUCGUCAAAUCUGCCUUCUCUUGAA